GCUGUAGUGGCUUCGUCUUCGGUUUUUCUCUUCCUUCGCUAACGCCUCCCGGCUCUCGUCAGCCUCCCGCCGGCCGUCUCCUUAACACCGAACACCAUGCCUUCAAUUAAGUUGCAGAGUUCUGAUGGAGAGAUAUUUGAAGUUGAUGUGGAAAUUGCCAAACAAUCUGUGACUAUUAAGACCAUGUUGGAAGAUUUGGGAAUGGAUGAUGAAGGAGAUGAUGACCCAGUUCCUCUACCAAAUGUGAAUGCAGCAAUAUUAAAAAAGUUGACUAUUGUCAUUUAUUGGGCAUCUGUACUGUGUCUACCUAUGCAAACACUUCCCUAGGAAGGAUGAUCUACAUGUAGAAUAUCUGGAUCGCAGGUCAUUCAGUGGUGCACCCACCACAAGGAUGACCCUCCUCCUCCUGAAGAUGAUGAGAACAAAGAAAAGCGAACAGAUGAUAUCCCUGUUUGGGACCAAGAAUUCCUGAAAGUUGACCAAGGAACACUUUUUGAACUCAUUCUGGCUGCAAACUACUUAGACAUCAAAGGUUUGCUUGAUGUUACAUGCAAGACUGUUGCCAAUAUGAUCAAGGGGAAAACUCCUGAGGAGAUUCGCAAGACCUUCAAUAUCAAAAAUGACUUUACUGAAGAGGAGGAAGCCCAGGUAGGUAGCACACAGUUUUGUCUUUGAUCACAUGCUCUUAAAAAGGGAGUAACACCUAUAACAUGCCAGCAAAAGAGGUGACUGUAUCAAGUAGUCUUGAUACUUUAGGGAUAAUAUGUACUUAAUGUGUCUUAAACAUACUCUUACUGUUCUGUCUUUAUGAAUCUGAACACUUAGAUGAUACUGCAUUUUAAGCAUAAGAACAAUUAGUUUUCAAUGAGAAGAGCUCUUGUUAAUGUAUUAACAGUUACUAGUUUUGGCACCUGCAACUUUCUGUAUAGACCAUACAUAUCUGACAUCAGAAAAGCAGGCCCUAGAGAGAAGUAUAUACUAGGGUACUUUAGAGCAACUUAAUGAGGGGAGGAAAUGAAAGAAUAGAUCAGAAUGAUUUUGUUGACAUGACUACAGACUGAAAUAAUGUGAAUGAAUUAACUGAAUUUGCUCUGUCAACUUUAGUAAAUUGCCCAUUGCCUUUGCUUUGUUCAUAAUUUCAGCAGGGCAGAAUAAAAACCAUGGGAGGCAAAGAAAGGAAAUCCGGAAAUAUAGUCUUAACCUGGUGUUGUUCUAAUUUUCCAUCUGUUCUUCUGACUCAACUCACUGGCUAUCGAUGAAUCAGUAGGUAGUAUUUAUAAGUCUUAGGAAAGACUACUCAAGUUAAGGUACUUCCCUAUAUCCAUCUCUUUUAGGUACGCAAAGAGAACCAGUGGUGUGAAGAGAAGUGAAAUGUUGUGCCUGACACUGUAACACUGUAAGGAUUGUUCCAAAUACUAGUUGCACUGCUCUGUUUAUAAUUGUUAAUAUUAGACAAACAGUAGACAAAUGCAGCAGCAAGUCAAUUGUAUUAGCAGAAUAUUGUCCUCAUUGCAUGUGUAGUUUGAGCACAGAUCCCAAACCUUACGGCCAAGUUUCUUCUAGUAUGAUGGAAAGUUUCUUUUUUCUUUGCUCUGAAUAAAACUGAACUGUGGGUUCUCUAUAAGUGGC
rnacentral:lncRNA from 10 species